GUCCACGCCCUAACGAUGUCAACUGGUUGUUGGGUCUCUUCUGACUCAGUAACGAAGCUAACGCGUGAAGUUGACCGCCUGGGGAGUACGGCCGCAAGGUUGAACUCAAGGAAUUGACGGGACCCGCACAAGCGGUGGAUGAUGUGGUUUAAUUCGAUGCAACGCGAAACCUUACCCACCUUUGACAUGUACGGAAUUUGCCAGAGAUGGCUUAGUGCUCGAAAGAGAACCGUAACACAGGUGCUGCAUGGCUGUCGU
rnacentral:rRNA from 1 species